rnacentral:rRNA from 1 species
CAAACUGGAGACGGCGACCGGCGCACGGGUGAGUAACACGUAUCCAACCUGCCGAUAACUCGGGGAUAGCCUUUCGAAAGAAAGAUUAAUACCCGAUAGUAUAAUGAAACCGCAUGGUCUUAUUAUUAAAGAAUUUCGGUUAUCGAUGGGGAUGCGUUCCAUUAGGCAGUUGGUGAGGUAACGGCUCACCAAACCUUCGAUGGAUAGGGGUUCCGAGAGGAAGGUCCCCCACAUUGGAACUGAGACACGGUCCAA